CGGACGGACGUAGAACGGUGUGAGAAGACAACGAUCGUGAAUCGUGAUGUUGCUUGCAUUUAAAGUUCGGGUGCGUGAUUUUGCAGCGAACGGGUGGGAAACGAGGUUCGCGCGCGGCCUUUUGUCUUCCCGCCGUCGAUAUUCUCUGUUAUCGUUCAACGGCGCGGCGUUGCUCGCUUAUUUGUGUACCCGACUUCGAAAGAACGUGACAUGACAUCGAAUGGAAUGAGCAAUCAGUGAGCCAUCCCACUCGAGUGCAAAGGGUUAAGUUGAAUCAAGAAUCAAGGACACCGAAAAUGUUCCAAACGAUUUACGUUGUUUUUUUUCUGAGAUGCCAGAGGGGCCAGCUUACGUCCAAUGGCAGCACCUUUGUUUCUGUGGGAACAUUCGAACCAGGCGGUCCAUAUGCGCUUAAAACGUGGAUGAGAAGCAUGGUUUCCAGUGCCUAUGAAAGGGUUAAAGUUCAAAGCCACCACCUUCAAAAUUCAUGGAUCGGUUCUUCCUACCGCGCUUUCGCGGUUCGCAGCAAAUGGGAAACCGGAGACACCUGGCUUCACCCGAAAGUGCUGCGAAUUGAAAAGUCUCCGAAACCGUCGGAAAGAUUUCGUUCGCGAGAACGAACGAACCGUCGAUUCGAGGAUCGAAGGCGCCAUCUUUGCAACGAUCUCUCGAAGCUCGUCGUACGACCUCUUUUGGUCGUUUUGUGAAACCGGAAACGACGAACAAUUUCGGUCGGGCAGAGCCCUCGUACAAUCCGAUUUAGAACGAUUAAAAAAAAAUCGUACAUCGAAGUUUAAGGGAUCGUUGCAAAGAGGAGGCUUCGAUCUCGAAAUCCAUGUUAACGCUAGAUUUACGGAUUCCGUCAAAAUGACGGAUCGUAACGAUACAUUUAUGAGUUAUUU